UAGUAUAUUACUUUGUUACGUAUAUAAAUGUUUAUCUGUAAACGUGAUGUAAACAAUGCUAUUUGUGCGUUUUUAGUUUAUUUAAAAAAAAUUGUAUACAAUAAAUCAAUCUUACAUAAAAUAUAAAUAUAUAAAACGUUUUAAAAGAUUAUAGUUGUGUCUAUACAAAACACAGUAGGAAUCCUAAGUGAAUCAAAAUAUCUUCUUAAACUACUAUGAUUCCUGUCUCGGCAUACUCAACAUCACAACACUUGGAAGAAGUUCUUUGUGCUCUACCGUGUAUUGGAACCUGCCCUGAAUGUGUUUGAGGCUUUUGUUGAUGCCUGAUUGUAAUGUUUCAAGAUCAAAUCAAUUAACAACUAGUUACAUUUAAUGUUGAACAAAUAUAUCUAAGUUUACUUUGGAACAAUAAUAAAUGAAUUUAAAAAGC